rnacentral:rRNA from 1 species
CCUACGGGUGGCAGCAGUGAGGGAUAUUGCACAAUGGGCGAAACCCUGAUCCAGCGACGCCGCGUGAGUGAAGACGUAUUUCGGUAUGUAAAGCUCUAUCAGCAGGGGAGAAAAUGACAGUACCUGACCAAGAAGCCCCGGCUAACUACGUGCAAGCAGCCGCGGUAAUACGUAGGGGGCAAGCGUUAUCCGGAUUUACUGGGUGUAAAGGGGGCGUAGACGGUUAUGUAAGUCUGGAGUGAAAGCCCGGGGCCCAACCGCGGGACUGCUGUGGAAACUGUGGAACUGGAGUACAGGAGGGGUAGGCGGAAUUCCUGGUGUAGCGGUGAAAUGCGUAGAUAUCAGGAGGAACACCGGCGGCGAAGGCAGCCUGCUGGACUGAAACUGACGUUGAGGCUCGAAAGCGUGGGUAGCAAACAGGAUUAGAUACCCGUGUAGUC